rnacentral:lncRNA from 1 species
GGCGGUACUAUACACCACGCUCACUAUAGCAUCAGCUACAGUAAUUGUUUUUGCCUUUUUUUAAUCUAUUUUUUCUCGGGCGUUACACCAUCUCCCUCACCUCUCUUCCACUCUUUCACUUAGGGUUAGGUUUUCUAGUGUUGUAGAGAGGUCCCAUAAACUGAAAAAUUUAUGGUGUAUUUUUUUUUGUGAUUUUGAUAUGGGAAAGGAGAUCCAAAUAAUCCUUUUGUCCUCCGGUGUCUGUCACUGUACUGAGUUUUUGAGCUUUUUCCCUAUUUUUCGUGCUUACCUUCUAUCUCGAUUUUCUAGAGUUUGGAUCAAUCUCAGACAAUAAUUUUAUUUGGAAUAACUUCGUGCUAGAUUAAAUUAUAUGUGUGCAGAAUCUGAGCUCAAAAGCUUUUGAAUCGAGAGAGAUACUUUCGUUCUCGUGUUUGCUCCCUUUUCUCCUUGGUUCUUGCGUGCACAGAGCAGUUGGUCGGACAGCAGUUCCUCGACGCAGUCCCAGCCAACCAUUGCAGACCCCGACGG